rfam:Geobacter uraniireducens Rf4, complete genome.
ACACCUGUUUUUCUCCGAGCCUCCUCACCUACAGGGCAUCCCCCCAAGGAAAGAGGCCAACGGGUUUCGCGGGAAACUGCGACGCCUCCCUUUGGAAAGGAGAAUUAACGUGGCUUGA